UCUGGGAUGACUUUCAUGUACAUAAAGUUCCUCCUCCAAUACAAAGGGCACUCGACAAAUCAAAGAGGAACUUUUGAUGUCUAGUCAACAAGUAGGUUGUGACGGAUGAAAAAGCAGGAAUGGAGUAAAGGGAGAAUUCAGGGGAAGAGGUAGCUCCAGAUACUCUACUUAGACAAGCUCUUCCAUUGGGGGCCAAGUGGAGGCCCGGAGAUGGACACAGACAGCGUGGCCCCUCUUCCGUGUCUUUACAGCUGUACUGGCGGUUGGUCAUGGCACACGUCCUAGAGUCUGUGAAAAGAGGCACAGGCGAGCCUUUUCCCCAGGAGACGAUAAACAAUGCUCACUAAAGAACGAUCCCUGAGACAUGAAAUGUAACACGUGGAAUGGUAUCAGAGGAUAAGCUUCAUCAUCUGAGUCCCAGACGGAGAUCCAAAUGGAAUCUGUGCAGGGGUGGUGUCUUGUUGGCCCCCUGGUUGAUUCUGUUGGCCAAUGCAUUGCACUUGACUGUCUAGGCAGAGCAUGCACCCCUCAGUCACCAAAGACGGCAUCUCUCUGUUUUCCUAUACAAGAUCCUUUACAUAACCUGGCUGGUCUCUACUAUUGGCUGAAAUGCAACCUCUGAUAGAGAUGAUUCAUUUGAAUAAAUAAGGUAAAAAAAUGCCAAUUCUACCCAUCUCUCCAUUCAUAUCUAACCUCCUUGAGAGUCACUCAAAUCACUAAACCUUGUCUUUUAGGUGCAUGUAUUAAAACACGCAGCAUAUAAGGCUGAUCAGCUACCCAAAAGCCAUUCCCAUUACUGAGGCUGAAAAGCCAGUUACACAUCUUUUUCCUAGCUUCCUGUGCAGCAACAAGGGAGUGGCCAUAUGAUUCAGUUAUAGCCAAAGAGAUAUUAAGAUAAGUCUGCUGGAGUUUCUGGAAAAGAUCCUGCUGCAUGACAAAACAGAUGGACACAAAAGAGGCGUUUGUUUCCUGGCAUCGCUCCUUUUCCCUUUGUCUUGCCUACCUUUGAUGUGUGUGUGAUAUCUGGAGCUAGGGCAGCCAUAUUGUGACCACAAGGCCACAAGCAUGAGGAUGAAAUCAAUACCCUGAAGAUGGCAGAGGUGGAGUCCUUGCUGACCUGUUCUGGAACUGCUUGCCUCCAGCUUUUAAAAGUAAAGAGAAUUUAGUUCGACUUUUCUGUCACUCAUUGCUAAAUAGACCGUGUCUCACAGAAACACAUAUCCUGAGUAGGGUUCCAGUAUAUAUGGAUCAAAAGUGCCUAUAACAGGGGAGCACUGUGAAUAUCCUCUCUUUAUACACCCGCAUCUAUAACAUGCCAGUCAACCAGCUGGACGAAAGAGAUUGCAAAGGGCUGUGUAAGUAAAAUCAGCAUCCGAGAGAGACAUUCAGGGCCACCUGGCCACUGGAAGCUAUAAACAGGGAGGCAGAGGCAACCCUCACAUGUAUAGUAAUAGACAAAGAGGGCACCAGGACAGACACCCAGGCCACAGUAAUGUAGCAAACACUGACCAAUGAUUAUAUUUCUAGUUUAUUCCUUUUCUCUUUAGUUGUCUCCUUUCAAAAUUAAUCUUCAAAAUUUACCUCAUUUCAUUCUUCCAUUUGGAGAAAGAUAUCUUUUUUGGCACUAAAAA
ensembl:lncRNA